GGCUCAAUGGUCUAGAGGCAUGAUUCUUGCUUUGGGUUAGCGUAGAAAUAUCUUGAACAACUGCAAGAGGUCCCGGGUUCAAUCCCCGGUUGAGCCC
rnacentral:tRNA from 4 species